UACAGAGGUCUCAAGCGUUGUUCGGAUUCAUUGGGCGUAAAGGGUGCGUAGGCGGCGCGGUAAGUCGGGUGUGAAAUCUCGGGGCUUAACUCCGAAACUGCAUUCGAUACUGCCGUGCUUGAGGACUGGAGAGGAGACUGGAAUUUACGGUGUAGCGGUGAAAUGCGUAGAUAUCAGGAGGAACACCGGUGGCGAAGGCGGGUCUCUGGGGCCGACUGACUGACGCUGAGGAGCGAAAGCGUGGGGAGCGAACAGG
rnacentral:rRNA from 1 species